rnacentral:rRNA from 1 species
CCUUGCGACCCCAGUCCGGCGGG